rnacentral:rRNA from 1 species
UACAGAGGUCUCAAGCGUUGUUCGGAUUCAUUGGGCGUAAAGGGUGUGUAGGUGGCGCGCUAAGUCAGGUGUGAAAUUUCGGAGCUUAACUCCGAAACUGCAUUCGAUACUGCCUUGCUUGAGUACUGGAGAGGAGACUGGAAUUUACGGUGUAGCGGUGAAAUGCGUAGAUAUCGUAAGGAAGACCAGUGGCGAAGGCGGGGCUCUGGACAGUUCCUGACGCUGAGGCACGAAGGCCAGGGGAGCAAACGGG